rnacentral:lncRNA from 1 species
UUGUUCUUAAAAAGGUACAGGAUCGGUUUUAGAAAUGUGAAGCAUAUUAUUUUAGUUUCACUACUGUUUCACUGUCUAUGCUGUGUUUAUGACUUCAUAUAUGUAAUCACCUUCUUUAUAAUCUUUCAUGUACAGCCAAAUAAGACAAGUUCUACUCUUGAAGGUGAGAAAAAUCAUAUGUUUGAUUGAUGUACCUUCCUUCAGAUAACAUCUACUAUUAAAUUUUUGGUUUCCUAAACGUCCAUAACUUUGUUCAGUCAACAUUCAAUGCAUUAACUAUGGAAAAAGUUAGAGGUAUGAAUCCUUCAAUUCUCUUACUUUGCUUCAAACUCACAGUACUGAAAUACUAUUAUUAUCAGCUUUACUGUGCCUGAAAUGAAUAUGCCUCUUUCUCAUAACAAAAAAAAAAAAAAAAGAUAGACAGGAUUCAUCAUGCCUUUUCAGAAACUGCUUUUCCUUCACCACCCUUCAAAAGGGUGCUACUUAAUAAGGAUGAACCUCUCAUAGAUUCAUGUAAGCUCCAGAAAAUUUGAACUGUUAUUUUGGGGUGUCUAUAAAUGAAUGAGAACAGGAUUGAUUCAUGUGUAGGACGGAUUCAACAAAGCUAUGGUCUAAAUGGUGAUUGGAACAGAGAAG